AUUGAACGCUGGCGGCAGGCCUAACACAUGCAAGUCGAGCGGAGCGGCGGACGGGUGAGUAAUGCCUAGGAAUCUGCCUGGUAGUGGGGGAUAACGUCCGGAAACGGGCGCUAAUACCGCAUACUAUUAGAUGAGCCUAGGUCGGAUUAGCUAGUUGGUGGGGUAAAGGCCUACCAAGGCGCCGAUCCGUAACUGGUCUGAGAGGAUGAUCAGGCAAACUGGAACUGAGACCCGGCCCAGACUCCUCCGGGAGGCAGCAGUGGGGAAUAUUGGACAAUGGGCGAAAGCCUGACCCACCCAUGCCGCGUGUGGGAAGAAGGUCUUUGGAUGGUAAAGACCUUCAAGUUGGGAGGCGUUACCAACAGAAUAAGCACCGGCUAACUUCGUGCCAGCAGCCGCGGUAAUUC
rnacentral:rRNA from 1 species